CUAGGAGGCGUCGAGCGGCGGACGGGUGAGUAAUGCAUAGGAAUCUGCCCGGUAGUGGGGGAUAACCUGGGGAAACUCAGGCUAAUACCGCAUACGUCCUACGGGAGAAAGCAGGGGCUCUUCGGACCUUGCGCUAUCGGAUGAGCCUAUGUCGGAUUAGCUGGUUGGUGAGGUAACGGCUCACCAAGGCGACGAUCCGUAGCUGGUCUGAGAGGAUGAUCAGCCACAUCGGGACUGAGACACGGCCCGAACUCCUACGGGAGGCAGCAGUGGGGAAUAUUGGACAAUGGGCGCAAGCCUGAUCCAGCCAUGCCGCGUGUGUGAAGAAGGCCCUCGGGUUGUAAAGCACUUUCAGUGGGGAAGAAAUCCUCGGGGCUAAUACCCUCGAGGGAGGACAUCACCCACAGAAGAAGCACCGGCUAACUCCGUGCCAGCAGCCGCGGUAAUACGGAGGGUGCGAGCGUUAAUCGGAAUUACUGGGCGUAAAGCGCGCGUAGGCGGCGUGAUAAGCCGGUUGUGAAAGCCCCGGGCUCAACCUGGGAACGGCAUCCGGAACUGUCAGGCUAGAGUGCAGGAGAGGAAGGUAGAAUUCCCGGUGUAGCGGUGAAAUGCGUAGAGAUCGGGAGGAAUACCAGUGGCGAAGGCGGCCUUCUGGACUGACACUGACGCUGAGGUGCGAAAGCGUGGGUAGCAAACAGGAUUAGAUACCCUGGUAGUCCACGCCGUAAACGAUGUCGACUAGCCGUUGGGGUCCUUGAGACCUUUGUGGCGCAGUUAACGCGAUAAGUCGACCGCCUGGGGAGUACGGCCGCAAGGUUAAAACUCAAAUGAAUUGACGGGGGCCCGCACAAGCGGUGGAGCAUGUGGUUUAAUUCGAUGCAACGCGAAGAACCUUACCUACUCUUGACAUCGUGCGAACUUGGUAGAGAUACAUUGGUGCCUUCGGGAACGCACAGACAGGUGCUGCAUGGCCGUCGUCAGCUCGUGUUGUGAAAUGUUGGGUUAAGUCCCGUAACGAGCGCAACCCUUGUCCCUAUUUGCCAGCGAUUCGGUCGGGAACUCUAGGGAGACUGCCGGUGACAAACCGGAGGAAGGUGGGGACGACGUCAGGUCAUCAUGGCCCUUACGAGUAGGGCUACACACGUGCUACAAUGGCCGGUACAAAGGGUUGCGAAGCCGCGAGGUGGAGCCAAUCCCGAAAAGCCGGUCUCAGUCCGGAUCGGAGUCUGCAACUCGACUCCGUGAAGUCGGAAUCGCUAGUAAUCGUGAAUCAGAAUGUCACGGUGAAUACGUUCCCGGGCCUUGUACACACCGCCCGUCACACCAUGGGAGUGGA
rnacentral:rRNA from 1 species